rnacentral:rRNA from 1 species
AAUCAACGCUGGCGGCGUGCCUCAGACAUGCAAGUCGAACGCGAAAUUUCCCUUCGGGAGAAAGUAGAGUGGCGCACGGGUGAGUAACACGUAGGUAAUUUGCCUUUGGGUGGGAAUAACUCAGGGAAACUUGAGCUAAUACCGCAUAGUGCAGCGGCUCGACAUCGAGACAGUUGUUAAAGCGGGGAGUUGGAGCAAUCCGACCUCGCGCCUAAACGAGAAGCCUGCGGCAGANAGUCUAGUUGGUAAGGUAAUGGCUUACCAAGGCGACGAUCUGUAACCGGCCUGAGAGGGCGGUCGGGUCACAUGACACUGACAUACGGGGCCAGACUCC